GUUAUAUUAAACAAUCAUAUAAAGAUUUUUCUGAUCCUUAAACUUUAAAAAUUCUUUAUUUUUCUUCCCUACCUUGAAUAUUGUCCACUAAUUUAGAUAAACAAUACAUCUAAACAAAAUGAAAUUAUUAAAUCUGUACAAAAUAACUUUUUACGAUUUAUGUCUUUUAUAUGUAACAUACAUAGGCCAGCGUAUGGUUUAUAUGAUAAUAUUUUAAAUUUCUUAAAUCUUAUUCCCUUCCAAAAUAGGCGCUUGCAGUUGCUCUCUAAAUUUCUCCAUAAAUUAAUUUCUGGCCUUAUAGAUUCUCCAAAACUACUUUGUUUAAUCAAUUUUAAAAUUAAGUCCUUUAAUACUAGAAAUCCUGAGCUUUUUUUAUCCUACAUAUUCUAAUAAAAAAUAUAUAUUAAAUUUGUAAAUAACUGCAGGUAAUAGUUAUAUCUAUGAUUUUAAAUAGUUAAGUUUAGUUAAAUUAAUACUGUGUACCAUACCUAUUAUUAGCAAUUGUAAUCUAUUAUUGUUGUAUAUAAAUCAUUUUAUAAAAAGACAUUAUAAAUAAAUAAACCAUACAAGUUUUAAUUUUUAAAUUUAAU